UAGGUUCUAUGCUGAAGGCCCUAGUGAGUUAAAACCUCUGCAGCCUUACCCGUUUGAUGGAGAAAAAUUCCACUGGCUUCCAUUAGCUGCCAAACUUACCUUCUCCUUCGAUCAUCCCCUCGCUCCCUCUUAUCUUUUUGCCCUUCAGCACUCCUUCUCCGUCGCUCGCAGGUUUAUUGCUUGCUUUCUCGCUCCUUUUCUUUUGGAAACAAAUUACAGAAUGAAAGGGUUAGAAGGCUCGACAUUAAUCUCUUCUGCGAGGACAAGGGCAAUGAUUCGGAACUAUGGAGUCACAGCGCUUCCAUCGUCGAUGAGGGCAAUACGAGCUCGACGUUCUCCGGAAGGACUUUAAUUUCAUGAGCAAAGAGAUUGCUCAGCUAAAGAUUGUGAGUCCUCUCUCUUCGUGUUUGGGUGCCUUGGAGUCAAGUUUCACUGUUUUUUUUCUUUUUUUGUUUUCGUGAGGAAUCGUUCACAUCGGUAAUCGGAAUGUUGAUGGGAGCGUAGAUGAAAAUCAGAGGCAAACGGCAGAGAAGAUGGAGGGGCAAAAUCUUCAAAAUAGACACCUGCCGCAAACCAGGCGACCCUAACCCUAAUCCCAGUAGAUGGAGGUUUCCGGCAAUAGCCGUCAUUUUCUCGUAUUAUCCUUUACCACCUAUUGCAGAAAUUUGAAGGUUACAACCACCUUCUCCUCUCGAAGCCCGCCGUCUUCUCCUCUCGAGGCCCGCAGCCCGCAGCUUAGCGAUUAGUUUGUUGGGGACUAUGGGGCCGCGCUCCCCCCAAAAAGUAAUUUUUUCCUUACAUAGCAUCUCAACAAUAUACUCGCGGUGCCCCAGCUCCGAGACUAGCAACGAACGGAAGGCAAUAUCACCGCACUCAAUCAAAUUUCAGAAUUUGACAGCACUACACUGCAGCGCUUAGAUGCAGUGUACCGACGUCCAUUGGUGCACCGCAAUGCCACUUCGUGGCACCCCGAUGUCCAUAACUAAUUUUGGAUAGUUUUUUUACUUAUCGUCGGUUUUGUUGAUUGAGGUGUGUGGGAUUUCCUAUUUAUCUUAUGAGAAGGAGAGGAGAGGAGUCUUCUAAAGUGUGGAGAUGCUUUGGUGAUGUAAUUUGUAUGAUUCUUCUCAUUUUCUUUAUAAUGGAUUUUUUUGUGCAGUAUGGUAUUAAGAUUUGUACCUUAUUUUUGUGGGAUCAAAUUAUAAAAUACAAUUAUAGAAGAAGU